rnacentral:rRNA from 1 species
UACGUAGGUGGCAAGCGUUGUCCGGAUUUACUGGGCGUAAAGAGCGCGCAGGCGGUCGUUCAAGUCGCGUGUGAAAGCCCCCGGCUCAACUGGGGAGGGUCACGCGAUACUGAUCGACUCGAAGGCAGGAGAGGGAAGUGGAAUUCCCGGUGUAGUGGUGAAAUGCGUAGAUAUCGGGAGGAACACCGGUGGCGAAGGCGGCGACCUGGGUCGAUACUGACGCUGAGGCGCGAAAGCGUGGGGAGCAAACAGG